UACGUAGGCAGCGAGCGUUGUUCGGAAUUACUGGGCGUAAAGAGUGUGUAGGCGGUGUUCCAAGUCUGGUGUGAAAUCUCCCGCUCAACUGGGAGGGUGCGCCGGAAACUGGAAUGCUAGAGGGUGGGAGAGGUAAGCGGAAUUCCUGGUGUAGCGGUGAAAUGCGUAGAUAUCAGGAGGAACACCUGUGGUGUAGACAGCUUACUGGACCACUUCUGACGCUGAGACACGAAAGCGUGGGUAGCAAACAGG
rnacentral:rRNA from 1 species